rnacentral:rRNA from 1 species
UACGAAGGUCCCGAGCGUUGUUCGGAAUCACUGGGCGUAAAGGGAGCGUAGGCGGCGCGGUAAGUCAGAUGUGAAAUCCCGGGGCUCAACCCCGGAACUGCAUCCGAUACUGCCGUGCUAGAGGAUUGGAGAGGUAGCUGGAAUUCUUGGUGUAGCAGUGAAAUGCGUGGAGAUCAAGAGGAACACUCGUGGCGAAAGCGAGCUACUGGACAAUAUCUGACGCUGAGGCUCGAAGGCCAGGGUAGCAAAAGGG